UGACAAUGUUCCGAAGGAUCUGUAACGCUUUGCGCAACCUGUUCCAAUGCACGAGGAAGGUUGAUUCAGAGAUCUCCAAUGCUACUGAUGCAGAAGUCAGACCCCCUAAGAAGAAGGAGAAGAAGGAGAAGAAGAAGAAGAAGAGUUUGUUUAAGAAGAAAUUCCGGUCUGAUAAGGAGAUCAAAACAGAAGUGAAACAGGAGGAGACACUGCUGA